ACUUUCAACAACGGAUCUCUUGGUUCUGGCAUCGAUGAAGAACGCAGCGAACUGCGAUAAGUAAUGUGAAUUGCAGAAUUCAGUGAACCAUCGAAUCUUUGAACGCACAUUGCGCCCGCCAGCAUUCUGGCGGGCAUGCCUGUCCGAGCGUCAUUUCCACCCUCACGCGCCCCUUUAGUGCGUGGUGUUGGGGCAUACUGCGGCUGCCGCGAGGCACCGCAGGCCCUGAAACCCAGUGGCGGGCCGGCAGAAGGCUCCGAGCGCAGUAAGCAUCACGCCCUCGCUCCGGACGCCCCUGCUGGCAGCUCGCCCUGCGGCGGAAACGCUUGCAGCAACCAUCUUAAAGGUUGACCUCGGAUCAGGUAGGAUUACCCGCUGAACUUAAGCAUAUCAAUAAGCGGAGGAAAAGAAACCAACAGGGAUUGCCCCAGUAACGGCGAGUGAAGCGGCAACAGCUCAGAUUUGGAAUCUGGCCUUCGGGCCCGAGUUGUAAUCUGGAGAGGAUGCUUCUGGCGCGGUGCCUUCCGAGUUCCUGGAACGGGACGCCGGAGAGGGUGAGAGCCCCGUACGGUUGGACACCUAGCCUGUGAAGCUCCUUCGACGAGUCGAGUAGUUUGGGAAUGCUGCUCAAAAUGGGAGGUAAAUUUCUUCUAAAGCUAAAUAUUGGCCAGAGACCGAUAGCGCACAAGUAGAGUGAUCGAAAGAUGAAAAGCACUUUGAAAAGAGAGUUAAAAAGUACGUGAAAUUGUUGAAAGGGAAGCGCCCGUGGCCAGACUUGCGCUGCGCGGACCACCCAGCGUUCUCGCUGGUGCACUCCGCGCGGCGCAGGCCAGCAUCGGUUUUCCUAGGGGGAUAAAGGUCGCGGGAACGUAGCUCCUCCGGGAGUGUUAUAGCCCGUGGCGUCAUGCCCCUGGGGGACCGAGGACCGCGCUUCGGCAAGGAUGCUGGCGUAAUGGCCACCGGCGACCCGUCUUGAAAACACGGACCAAGGAGUCAAGCAUUGGGGCGAGUGUCUGGGUGUCAAACCCGCACGCGAAAUGAAAGUGAACGCAGGUGAGAGCUUCGGCGCAUCAUCGACCGAUCCUGAUGUUCUCGGAUGGAUUUGAGUAAGAGCCUUACCGCUUGGACCCGAAAGAUGGUGAACUAUGCCUGUAUAGGGUGAAGCCAGAGGAAACUCUGGUGGAGGCUCGCAGCGGUUCUGACGUGCAAAUCGAUCGUCAAAUAUGGGCAUGGGGGCGAAAGACUAAUCGAACCAUCUAGUAGCUGGUUACCGCCGAAGUUUCCCUCAGGAUAGCAGUGUUGUUUUCAGUUUUAUGAGGUAAAGCGAAUGAUUAGGGACUCGGGGCGCUAUUUAGCCUUCAUCCAUUCUCAAACUUUAAAUAUGUAAGAAGCCCUUGUUGCUUUGUUGAACGUGGGCCUUCGAAUGUAUCAACACUAGUGGGCCAUUUUGGUAAGCAGAACUGGCGAUGCGGGAUGAACCGAACGCGGGGUUAAGGUGCCAGAGUGGACGCUCAUCAGACACCACAAAGGCGUUAGUACAUCUUGACAGCAGGACGGUGGCCAUGGAAGUCGGAAUCCGCUAAGGACUGUGUAACAACUCACCUGCCGAAUGUACUAGCCCUGAAAAUGGAUGGCGCUCAAGCGUCCCACCCAUACCCCGCCCUCAGGGUAGAAUCAAGGCCUGAGGAGUAGGCGGCCGUGGAGGUCAGUGACGAAGCCCAGGGCGUGAGCCCGGGUCGAACGGCCUCUAGUGCAGAUCUUGGUGGUAGUAGCAAAUACUUCAAUGAGAACUUGAAGGACCGAAGUGGGGAAGGUUCCAUGUGAACAGCGGUUGGACGUGGGUUAGUCGAUCCUAAGCCAUAGGGAAGUUCCGUUUCAAAGGAGCACUUGUGCUCCGCUUGGCGAAAGGGCAGCAGGUUAAUAUUCCUGCACCUGGAUGCGGGUUUUUCGCGGCAACGCAACCGAACGCGGAGACGACGGCGGGGGCCCCGGGCAGAGUUCUCUUUUCUUCUUAACGGCCCAUCACCCUGGAAUCAGUUUGUCUGGAGAUAGGGUUCCAUGGCCGGAAGAGCCCAGCACCUAUGCUGGGUCCGGUGCGCCCCCGACGCCCCUUGAAAAUCCGCGGGAGGAAUAAUUCUCGCGCCAGGUCGUACUCAUAACCGCAGCAGGUCUCCAAGGUGAA
rnacentral:rRNA from 1 species